rnacentral:lncRNA from 1 species
UCUACCCCCUAUAAAAAUUAAUGCUCUUGUCAUCUUUCAAAGUAUAUACAUAAUUCUAAAUAAACAAAUAAUUUAUUUUAUUUGUUAAAUAAGUUAAAGUAUGUAACACGUUUUUAUUUUUUAAUUACAUAACAUUUUGGAAUGUUAAAGUUUAUUGUUCCGCUUUUUAUUGUAAAAGGGCUUUGCUUUUAGGGAUAUUAUUAUAACUUAAAAAAAAAAACAAUAAAUUUGUUGCAUAAACUUCAGUUUCAUUUAGUGUGUGAAACAUUUUUAACUAUGUAUGAUUUAAUAUUUAUUAACUUAUUAAAUGUAUUAGCUGAAUAGCAAAAUGAAUUAAAAUCGCUAAAGUAUGCCUAUUUAUUUAACUUGGGAGUAUUUUGAAAAAAUAGGAAAGGCGUUGAACAUGUAUUUUUGAUUAACACAGAAAAGUUUGGCAACAAGAAUUUUCAAAAAUAAUUAUGUAGUUCAGAAUUAAAUAGUAUAAGCAUGUACUUAUUUUCUAUCAGGUAAACAUUCUUAACAAGUAUUGAAAGUAUAUUUUGGUAUAGAAUAGCGUAUAUAUUAAGCGUGUAUAUAUUUUCUUUUACGUAAACAUUGAACUAAUUUUUAGCAAGAAUUGAAAAUGCCUGUUCGUUUACUGCUUAGCAAAUUAUACGUAUGUGCUACACAACAUUUCACAUGCAUAAGUAAUUUUAAGUUAAACACAGUGAAGUGCAUAGUCCGAUGGGUAAUCAACUGUAAUUUAUUAGUUUAUCGGCGGUUGUAGUCUAGGUACUUCCAUAAUUUAAUAAUAAUCAUAGAAUGGUGUAUAGUGUAUCUAUGGCCCUCUUCUAUAAAUAUCUAUGUAAGAAAUUGUAAGGAUUCUAGUAUCUAUGGUCUAUGUCCUGUAAUAUCUAUGCCUAUGUCUCUGGCAUAAAUGAAACUGACGUUUGUUGCCAUUUUUUGUUAUUUGUAUUCCUUUAAUGUAUUUGUUACGAGAAGAAUUCCAUCUACCUAUUUUUAUUCCAUUUCGUAUCUUUUUUUAUAUAGUGAUAUUUUAAAUUUUAAUCAUUGCAGCUACUUUUAAUUCCGGUAACUGAAGAUACAUUACUUAUUUAAGUUGUAAAUUUGUUCUCUAGUUCAGUUGUAACAGAAACUGGUGUAGCUUUCGGUAUUCCUUACUUUUUGCAAUUUUGUUAUUACACUAUAUUGUUAUGGUACUAAAUUGUUUAUAUGUGAAUAUUGUACUAGUCCUCUUUCCAAGAGGAUAUUUAUACUGGAAAUAGACAAACAGGUAUGCCAAAGUUUAACGCAAUGAAUGCCACCCUCAUAAGGCCGUAAAAGGAAAAAACAACAUUAAUUAGAGAUAAUUACAACCCUAUCGAAAAAGUACAAGUUUUUGGAUGAGCAUUCUACUAUACUAAGCAAUAUUCCUUUUGUUUCAACAUUUUAAACAAUUUGCCUAAUCAGCAAAUUCUUUACAACCUAAGAGCAUUUUUGCCAGCAGUUCAGACUUAUGAAGAAAGUACUUUAAGCUAUUUGCUUAUGGAGUUUCCUGUCAGUGUUUUGGGUUGUCACCUGUGGAAUUAUACAGUAUUCAAAAUCAUCUUUCCAAUACACCGAUACAACAUUGAAAAGGCUUGCUUAGAGAUGACAUCAUUGGAUUAUAAGGAGGAACUACCUGGACUUGUUUUUAUUUCUAAAAAUGCUUCUGAUGUGUUGGUCGAAAAAUUCACAAGGCACGGUUGUUAACAAUGGUUUCCAUCAAAAUAUAAUAAAUGAACGUGGAGAGAGUAAAUCGAAAGGAGUGGAAACGUGAAGAAGCAGAACGCCACUCGCAUUUCUUUCUCUUAGACUUGGAAUGGGAUCUUUUGUGGAAAGGGUUAUCAUUUAAACUUGUUAAAUGAACAAGAAAACAAAAAAUAAGGAUUCAAAAUGUGGAGUUGUGGAGCCCUGUUAAUGUUCCGUCCUCUUAGACUUGGAAAGUGCAAUUUUUGGAGAACGAAGUCCAAUUCACAUAGAUAUAUUUAGGAAUAAAACUUGAGCACCGUAGAGUUAUCCUUGAGAUCGUCCAAAUGGUGAGAAAGAGAAUUUCAGAUUGAUGGUAUUGAAACAACCAAUGUCUUGUCUUGAUUUGCUGUUUUCGUCUUCACCUCGCAACAUUAUGCAGCUAAUUUUCAACAGAUAAGUGAGAACAAGAGGAGAUUUACUUGAAUUCCACUAAUAGAACAAGUUUUCUUCUUUGGCAUUCCUCCUGGACUUGGUUUGCUUUUCAUAUCUGCAAACGUUGGAACGUUACAGUCUAUAAUUAAUUAAGGUGAGAAUACUUGAUAUAAUUAAUUUUAAUUGCUCUU